GUUGCUGCCACGUGAAGAAGGGUGUGUUUGCUUCCCCUUCCACAUGAUUAAUGCAUGCGAUUUGUUAAUCAUGAUGGAGAUCUCAGAUGCUUUUGAAGAGGCUGAACUGAUAUGAGAAAGUCUUAACCAGUUGUUGCUUCUUUGAAGAAGAAGGAAGGGGCCACAAGCCAAGGAAUGUGGUGGCAUCUAGACACUGGAAAAAGCAAGAAAAUGAAUUCUCCACUAAAGCAUCCAGAAACACAGCUCUAAAGAUCCCCAGUUUUAGUCCAGUAUGACCCAUGUUGGACUUCUAAACCAUAGAAUUGUAAGAUACUAAAUUUAUGCUGUUUUAAACCAUUAUGUUCAUGAUAAUUUGUUACAGUAGCCAUAGAAAUCUAAUAAAAUUGAGAUACUUCUUUCCAUUUGAUUUAUU
rnacentral:lncRNA from 10 species